AUACGGAGGAUCCGAGCGUUAUCCGGAUUUAUUGGGUUUAAAGGGUGCGUAGGUGGUUUGAUAAGUCAGCGGUGAAAGUUUGCAGCUUAACUGUAAAAAUGCCGUUGAAACUGUCGGACUUGAGUGUAAAUGAGGUAGGCGGAAUGCGUGGUGUAGCGGUGAAAUGCAUAGAUAUCACGCAGAACUCCGAUUGCGAAGGCAGCUUACUAAGCUACAACUGACACUGAAGCACGAAAGCGUGGGGAUCAAACAGGAUUAGAUACCCUGGUAGUCCACGCAGUAAGCGAUGAUUACUAGCUGUUUGCGAUACACAGUAAGCGGCACAGCGAAAGCGUUAAGUAAUCCACCUGGGGAGUACGCCGGCAACGGUGAAACUCAAAUGAAUUGACGGGG
rnacentral:rRNA from 1 species